rnacentral:lncRNA from 1 species
UGGGCCUCGAAAACCUUCACACCAAUUCCAUGUAUCAUUCCAGCCAAUAGCAUAUCAUAUUCCUUCCUCUUCGUUAACCCUAACCUACACAAUUCUUAUACGCUUAAAAUAGUUAAGGCAAAUCACAUUACACCAUUAAAUAAUUCAUACGACCGUCUUUCAAAUUCCGGCUAGAUAGAUACACUUCCUCCACCGUUCAGAGCCAUUAACACCUUAAUCAGAUCAAAAACCUCAACCUGGCGACUCUC